rnacentral:rRNA from 1 species
UGAACGCUGGCGGCAUGCUUUACACAUGCAAGUCGAACGGCAGCACGGGGGCAACCCUGGUGGCGAGUGGCGGAACGGGUGAGUAAUGCAUCGGAACGUGCCCAGUCGUGGGGGAUAACGUAGCGAAAGCUACGCUAAUACCGCAUACGAUCUGAGGAUGAAAGCGGGGGACCGUAAGGCCUCGCGCGAUUGGAGCGGCCGAUGGCAGAUUAGGUAGUUGGUGGGGUAAAGGCUCACCAAGCCGACGAUCUGUAGCUGGUCUGAGAGGACGACCAGCCACACUGGGACUGAGACACGGCCCAGACUCCUACGGGAGGCAGCAGUGGGGAAUUUUGGACAAUGGGCGCAAGCCUGAUCCAGCCAUUCCGCGUGCAGGAUGAAGGCCCUCGGGUUGUAAACUGCUUUUGUACGGACGAAACGGUCCUGGUUAAUACCUGGGGCUAAUGACGGUACCGUAAGAAUAAGCACCGGCUAACUACGUGCCAGCAGCCGC